UCUGGUGUUCGGCGGGCCGGAGCAGCCGGACGGUUGGCGGCCGUCCGCGAUGUCAUUGUUCGACGCCAAGCGGCUGGCC
rnacentral:tRNA from 1 species